AUGGGNGCANCCCUGGAUCCAGCAAUGCCGCGGUGGAGGUGAUGAAGGCCUUAGGGUUGUAAAGCUCUUUUACCCGGGAUGAUAAUGACAGUACCGGGAGAAUAAGCCCCGGCUAACUCCGUGCCAGCAGCCGCGGUAAUACGACANCAGCCGCGGUAAUACGAUACGA
rnacentral:rRNA from 1 species